AUGAUACAAGCGAGAGUUGGCCUACGCCGUCAACUGAUCUGCAGCAGCGUGGAAGGAGUGUUCAAAAGCAGCAGGAGCAGUUGUUCUACUGCUGGUCGGAGGGAGAGCUUGGCAAGGGAGAUAGAGGGAGCUCUACAACCACGAUCUUGGCAUACAACCCGAUGGCAUCAUGCCCACAUCUUACGAAAUCUUAGAUGUUGCUAA
rnacentral:rRNA from 1 species